rnacentral:rRNA from 1 species
AAAAUGAAAUCAUUAGAUAUUUCAUUUACAAUGAAAGUUUGUUUGUAAGAACCAUUUUAAUAAAAUUUUAAAGUGUUUAUUUUAAAAUAAGGAAUUAUAAAAGGUUUAUGAGAAGUGUAUUGAUAAUAGAUUUAUAUUUGGGUGAACUGUAGGGGAAACGUGAAAAUUUUGAAAAAUUUAAAAUUAAAGAAGUAUUUAGGAGUACCUUUUGCAUCAGGGUUUUUUAAAGAAAUUAAAAUAUUUUAAUUUCCCGAAGUUAAAAUGAUCUAUAAGAAUAGGAAUAUCAUUAUGUGGAAUUAUAAUGAGUAAUAUUUUUAUAGAAAUGAAAUUUUAUUCAUAUUUAAUGAUAUCUGGUUAUGAAAAUAAUGAUUAUAUAUCAUGCUAUAAUUUUUUUUUUAAUUUUAAAUUUUAUAGAGAUGAUUUGUAGGGAUAAGCUUACAGAUUUCUUUUAUGGUUAAGUUUACAUAAAAAUAAGGGAUGAAAUUUUCUUAGUUUUUUAAUAAAGAAUUGUUGUUAAGGGUUUGGACAAGAGUAAAGUGAUUUAGUGAUUUUAUUAAUUUUUUUUAAUUUAAAAAAAUUAAUAAAAUCAGUAAAAUAGAUAUAUUUGUGUAAACUUUAAUUUGUUUUGGUGGUGUGUUUAUUUAAGUUAGAGGAACUCGGCAAAAUUUAAUGAUUGACUGUUUAACAAAAACAUUUCAUUUUUGAGGUAAUAAAAUGUAAAAUCUGCUCAAUGAUUAUUUAAAUUGCUGUGGUAUUUUGACUAUACGAAGGUAUUGAAAUAAGGCUUUAAAUGGGUGCUAAGAGAAUGGUUUAACGAUUAAUAACUUUCUUUAAUUAAUAAAAUGAAUUUAAUUUUUUUGUGAAGAAGCAAAAAUUUAAAUUAGGGACAAGAAGACCCUAUGAAUUUUUAUUAGAUUGUGAUGAGAAUUAUUUGAAAUCUAAUUUGGUUGGGGUGAUUAAAAAAGAAUAUAUAUCUUUUUGUAUUAAAGAAAUUAAUUUGUUCCGUUAUUAACGAUUAAAUGAGAAAAAUACUCUAGGGAUAACAGCGUAAUAAUUUUGGAUAGUUCAUAUAGAUAAAAUAGUUUGCGACCUCGAUGUUGGAUUAGGAUCCUUUUUUAGUGAAGAAGUUAAAAAAAGAAGUUUGUUCAACUUUUAAAUUCCUACAUGAUUUGAGUUCAAACCGGCGUGAGCCAGGUUGGUUUCUAUCUUAAUUUUCACUUUUAUUUUUUUAGUACGAAAGGAAUAAGAAAUGUUAAUUUUAUUAAUUUAAUUAUUACAUUUUAUUAA